CACACAUCACGCCAAGAAAGCCAAUUAUCGAGAACGAUUACAAAGUUAGUCCAAUAGACACAGAAGUUGGAUCCUUCGUAGUAAUGAGUUAUGACCACGCUAAGGUUGUACAAAUAGGUGAUCAUGUUCUUACAGCCAAACAGCUACGCCCUACUAUCACAGAUGGCUUCAUAUUCGAUGAGGUCAUAAAUGCGUAUGUUGAUUUCUCCAAUGUGGAGACUGAAGAGUCAUCAUUUAUAACAACUUUCCAAGCCUGGAAGUUGGCUACAAAUAAUCUGGGUGACGAACGCUUCAAGAAGAUAAUUGCCGACAAAUGUGUUCAAAGACAUUUGGUCUUUGUGCCAAUGAAUAUAAAUAACAACCACUGGGCUCUCCUAGUGCUAAAUUUUAUAAAGAAAGAGGUACAGAUACUUAACUCCUUAUCCGAAAUGCGAGAUGAAAGCAAAGAGAAGGCAUUGGUGCAAAGCAUACAGACAUGCAUAGAAUCUUCGAGAAACGAUGGCUUGGUUAACUUGCGCGUCUAGAAAAGAAUACCUUAUCAUAACAUACCGCAGCAAAAAGACGGUCAUUCAUGCGGGGUGUUCAUAAUAUAUUAUAUGAUGGCAUGGGAUGGAGAAAAAAUGGCCUAUCAUUUCACAAAUACACAAAUGCAAGGAUUCAAACGGAGAAUAUGCACGAGGUUGCUCCUUUCUGAUCGCAACAUGAGACGCCAACAAUCAUACCAAAAUCCUAUCACGGAAGAAGACUACUAUGCCAAAAAUCCAAACGAACAACGCCAGCACGAAAAUGCUGAAAAUGAAAGCGACGUGCAGAUAGUAGAGAUUGAAACUCCAAGCCCUGAAGCCAGAAUGAAAGGAGAGGAAGGAACUAAAGGAGGAAAAGGAACCAAAGGAACAGGAUCUCAAAAAGAAACAGGAGCUCAAAAUAGGAAAAGAGGACGACCCCCAAAGAGAACUGUUGUCAAUACUCCUAGUGUCGCGGAUGAAUUUAGCAGCGAAACUAUCGUUAAACGAGU